CACGCAGACCGUUCUGUCGCUCCGGGAAACCGGAGAGGAAAGUCCGGACAACACAGGGCAUCAUGCUUCUUAACGGGAAGAUAUCCGAAAGGGUAUGGAAAUGUAACAGAGAACAACAGCCUAAGUCUGAGCAAUCAGACCGGUGAUGGUGAAAAGGCGGGGUAAGAGCCCACCGGCUGUGGUAGCAAUAUCGCGGGCCGUACAUCCCAUGGGUUGCAAGGCCAUGUAUAUCAGCACUCCGGUUCGCCGGAUAAGAACUGCCCGUUCGAGCUGAGGGGUAGGCCGCUGGAGUUGUUCAGUGAUGAACAGCCAAGAUAAAUGACAGAAAUCCGCUUUCGGGCGGAGACAGAAUCCGGCUUACAGGUCUGCUUUUUUU
rnacentral:RNase_P_RNA from 4 species